ACCAGUGAGUGGCGGACGGGUGGAGUAACACGUAGGUAACCUGCCCCGGACGCGGGGGAGUAACAAUUUGGUAAACAAGAUGCUAAUACCGCAUAACAACAAAAGACCACAUGGCUUUUGUUUUGUAAAGAUGGCUUUGGCUAUCACUCUGGGAUGGACCUGCGGUGCAUUAGCUAGUUGGUAAGGUAACGGCUUACCAAGGCGAUGAUGCAUAGCCGAGUUGAGAGACUGAUCGGCCACAAUGGAACUGAGACACGGUCCAUACUCCUACGGGAGGCAGCAGUAGGGAAUCUUCCACAAUGGGCGCAAGCCUGAUGGAGCAACACCGCGUGAGUGAAGAAGGGUUUCGGCUCGUAAAGCUCUGUUGUUGGAGAAGAACGUGCGUGAGAGUAACUGUUCACGCAGUGACGGUAUCCAACCAGAAAGUCACGGCUAACUACGUGCC
rnacentral:rRNA from 1 species